rnacentral:tRNA from 1 species
GGGAAGUAAGCUAAUCUGGUGAAAGCGCCUGCCUGAAGAGCAGGAGAGAUAGGGUCGGAACCUGUACUUCCCA